UACGUAGGGGGCAAGCGUUGUCCGGAAUCAUUGGGCGUAAAGAGCGUGUAGGCGGUUCGGUAAGUCGGCUGUGAAAGUCCAGGGCUCAACCCUGGGAUGCCGGUCGAUACUGCCGGACUAGAGUUCGGAAGAGGCGAGUGGAAUUCCCCGGUGUAGCGGUGAAAUGCGCAGAUAUCGGGAGGAACACCUAUGGCGAAGGCAGCUCGCUGGGGACGUUACUGACGCUGAGACGCGAAAGCGUGGGGGAGCAAACAGG
rnacentral:rRNA from 1 species